AUGCAGCAACGCCGCGUGGGGGACGAAGGCCUUCGGGUUGUAAACCCCUUUUGGCAGGGAAGAAGCGAAAGUGACGGUACCUGCAGAAAAAGCACCGGCUAACUACGUGCCAGCAGCCGCGGUAAUACGUAGGGUGCAAGCGUUGUCCGGAAUUAUUGGGCGUAAAGAGCUCGUAGGCGGUGUGUCACGUCUGCUGUGAAAAUCCAAGGCUCAACCUUGGACUUGCAGUGGGUACGGGCACACUCGAGUGCGGUAGGGGAGAUUGGAAUUCCUGGUGUAGCGGUGGAAUGCGCAGAUAUCAGGAGGAGCACCGAUGGCGAAGGCAGAUCUCUGGGCCGUAACUGACGCUGAGGAGCGAAAGCGUGGGGAGCGAACAGGAUUAGAUACCCUGGUAGUCCACGCCGUAAACGGUGGGAACUAGAUGUGGGGUCCGUUCCACGGAUUCCGUGUCGCAGCUAACGCAUUAAGUUCCCCGCCUGGGGAGUACGGCCGCAAGGCUAAAACUCAAAGGAAUUGACGGGG
rnacentral:rRNA from 1 species